rnacentral:rRNA from 1 species
GACGAACGGAGCGAGCGUUGUUCGGAAUCACUGGGCUUAAAGGGCGCGUAGGCGGGUGUUCAAGUCCGGGGUGAAAUCCCACAGCUCAACUGUGGAACUGCCUCGGAUACUGGGCGUCUCGAGUGUGGUAGGGGUAUGCGGAACUAUCGGUGGAGCGGUGAAAUGCGUUGAUAUCGAUAGGAACUCCGGUGGCGAAGGCGGCAUACUGGACCACCACUGACGCUGAUGCGCGAAAGCCAGGGGAGCAAACGGG